UACGGAGGGUGCAAGCGUUGUCCGGAAUCACUGGGCGUAAAGCGCUCGUAGGCGGUCUGUUGCGUCCGCUGUGAAAACUCGGGGCUUACGCCGACGCGCAGUGGAUACGGGCAGACUAGAGGUAGGUAGGGGAGACGUGGAAUUCCUGGUGUAGCGGUGAAAUUCGUAGAUAUUCGCAAGAACACCAGUGGCGAAGGCGGACUCACUGGCCCGGUACUGACGCUGAGGUGCGAAAGCGUGGGGAGCA
rnacentral:rRNA from 1 species